GAACGACAAAUCGUCAGCUUUUGCCUGUCAAAUGGACGAAGUAAUGCAGCGCCCACAAAGAGAAAUGCCUGUCCCUACACCAAAGGGUUAAUCACUUACAGUGCGUAUCGCAAUAGCAGGCCCACCGGCAUUCUACUGAAGGUAGGGAUUUCCUACUGCCCUUCUCUCGAGGUACCCGAUAAGUCUGAACCUUUAUGGACAUUAAGGGAAGCUUCAAUGUCAUACUAGUCUCAUUUCUCACAAGACCUGGAGGAGGUCUAGAACAGGUGGUGAACUAAGAAUCCAUGAAAUGAUUUAGCGAAUAUGAUUAGGCCUAUAAUGCUUCCUUUUAGCUGGUUGCAAGACUGCUCCCUUGUUGCUGUUCUCUGGCAGACUGGCUUUUGAAACCAGAGUUUUCCCCAGCAAGCCAUUCUGUGGAACUGUGCACAAAAAGAAGGAGAAAGAUUGCCAGAGCUCAGUUUGCCUUAAUAAAAAAAACGAGGAGCUCUAGUGAGAAAGCAGGGAGCUUUAAGCAGUGCCGGACCCUGGCAGCCCAGAUCCGAUCCCCCCCAGGGUGCUCCCGUGAUCCGUCGUCUCCCUCCCCCAACGUGAUGCAGACACAAGCAUAUUGCAUCCAGGACCUGCCCAAGGCAACUUGAAAACGUGGGCUGUGACAGUCCACCAUAUAUCCCUCCAACAUUCUGAAAACUUCAGUUUACGAAAAAAUGAAGGGAGCACAGAAGUUUGACUAUGCCAGGAACAGCAUGGCUUCUGUAUGUUAGUGGCUGCAGGAGCAAUAAAUAUGAGAAUGAGAAGAUGCUAAACCUCCUGAUUCAGGAAGAAUGCACCAGAGGACACUUCAAAUAAAACCCUGGAGACUGGGACCUGGCCUGCUUGCCGCCCAGCAAUUCUCUCACCUUUCCCCCUGCUGUAACAGUAACAUAACAUAAAGUUUGCUCAUUGCAUUUACCCAUGUCCUUUUGUACAAUAUUGGAGAACAGGGUGUGCAUAAAUGAAUGAUUUAAAGUUGACUUUCCUUGAAUGAGGUUGGCACUGGAAUUAUUUAGCUGGUCAAGGACAGGGACGUAAAUGACACUGCAAACUCUAGCCAAAAAAUGUUUUAAUCUGUUUUUAUUGGGUAUUUUGCUUAACUUUUCUUCUAAUUUGGGCAUUUGUAUACAUUUUGUAAAAUGCAGACCACAAUAAAGGUAGUGUGAUCACCUUCUCUG